ensembl:lncRNA
AUGGGAUCUACAAUAUGUGUGUGCGAGAAAGACAGAGAGGGUCUCCUGACAGGGGUCCUGCUGACGGGCUUUAAAAGCCAGCAGUCAUCUCUUACAAUAACAAACACACCAAUCCAGCCCAUCAACCGUGGGAGACUUAAAACACCUUUCUUUUGUGUUUUCAUUCAGGAGACAUGCACGACCGAACACGUUGAAUGUCUUUCGGUAACACGUCAGAAGAUCUGUCUGAUAUCAAAUAUUUUCUCGUCUUAUGUUGCCAUGGCGAACAAUCAAGCUAAACAGAGUAGUGAGUGUCUCAGGCCGAGCAAAGGACAGAGCCGAGCUCAUAUCUGUCUUCGGUGUCCCGGUUCAGAGGGUUAGACGUCACCUUAUCUGCUGUCUCUUUACUGUCAGGUCCAGCUCUCCAUCCACCAACACCAGCUGAAAGACUUUUGACGUCUCAAAGGGAUUUUGAGAAAGCAAACAAAAUUUCUACAAAAAAAAAAAAAUGUCUAUUGGACUACUGUUGACAGAGGCAGGGAUUUAAUGAUUCUGUACAGCAGAGAUGAUUCUCUGCCAGUUCCUAGAACUGAAAUAGUUUUAUUAUUAAUAAAUAAUUGAAAAAUGUAUAUGUAGCAUUUCAUAUAAAUGUAUAUAUAUGUAUAUAGCAUUCAAAAUAAAAGUUUUUGUUUACAUAAUAUAUGUAUAGUAUGUGUACGGUGUAUAUUUAUUGUGUAUAUAUUAGGGGUGGAACGUGCCUCGGUUCGCGUGUCACGUUUCAAUACCAUUUUGGUACAACAGGAAAAAAAAUCUACUAUGCUUGGUUUCUUUUCAUUUAUUUUGAACAGACAGUAGUACAAAUGACUAUUUUUUUCCAGCUAGAUGUGAAAAUACUAAAUAUUAUUAUAUUUUUAAAUAUAUAUAAUCUGCAGUACAUAUAUACAUACAAGGAAUAAAUUCUUUAAAUACAUUUGAUUUAGUUUACAGAUAAACAAGGGAAAAAGUGUGACAUACCUGUAUAACAUAGCCUAUACUGUAUAUGCUGAGUUUCAGUUCAUUUUUGUGACAGGCUUAUUUGCUUUUGUUCACAGAAAAGAAACUCAAAUGGCAGAAAGCGUCAUCCUAUUUGUUUUCUUUAUUUUACAAAAGCACAAUGUUUUGUUUUCAUUGUGAGUGUACACAAAUAAAAGCAGACCUUCAUACGGUGAUGCAUUAUUAAUAAGACAAUAAGUGUGUAAAGUUGAUUCUGCUGGUAUAAGGAAAAACUUGAAGUGAUUGCGCCAGCAUGCACACACACACACAAAACACAUCAGUUCCAGCAUUGCUAACUUGACAGCACAGUUGGAACUUUAUCAAAAUAAAAUACAGUAAACCAAAAAUCAGCGCGCCUGCCUCUGAGUCUCUGUGGAACUGAAGUACAAAGCCUAUCAUUUACAUAAUAAAUGAGAGAGGUAGGAUACACGAGCACAAAGGUCCAUAUCACAAACAGUUGAGUGCACAAGUCUUUAAAGUAUACUCCUUUGUCAGUCUGUUAGAGACGCACUCAGAGUCAGCACAUGGUCACUGUCUAGUGGGCUUUGUUUUCAAAUGUGCAACUCACGACAUUCGCUGUUCUUUUGCUGGUGGCCGGUUAUCAAACCGCCUUGCAUUGCUGCACGCACCCCCUUCUGGAUUGGGGGUGAAUUGCCUGUAUUCGUUGUAAGGCCUCAUGCAACGAACCGAGAUGUCCGUACCAUGCAAUUCCGUACGAAUACAUGUAUCCUUCCACCCCUAGUAUAUAUAAAUACACAUACAUGCAUGUAUAUAUUUAAGAAAAUGUGUAUUGUUUAUAUUUAAAUAAAUUUAAUAUAACAUAAUGUAAGUUAUAUGAAUAUAAAUAUAUAUAUGUAAAUAUCACAUGUACGUAUAGAUAUUUUUAAAAUAUUCACUGUAUGUGUGUAUAUAUAUAUAUACACACACAUAAUAAAUGUGCACAGUACACACAUAUUAUAUAAAGAAAAACUUUUAUUUUGGAUGCGAUUAAUCACAGUUAAUCGCUUAACAGCAAUUUCACAAGCUUUCAAAAUGUGUUGCAUAUGAGUAGUUAGCAGUUGUAAAAAAUUAGCUGGACAUUAAAGGUCAUAGUAAUUUAUAUGCAGAUGCUAUGACUGAUUGCUGCUGACUGAUGCUAUGAAUUGUCCCAUUGUAAAUAACAUCUGAUCUGUUGCCUGAUGAUGCUACAAUAUCUUUUUCAGCUCAGUGGAUAUGCAUGACUCCUAUCUGACCCCCAUAUGUCCGUGAAUUGUGAAACAGGAAGAGGAAGUCAGUAAGAUUCGCAUAAAUGAGUUACAGUAGAACGAUCCACCCUUCAGAGAGAGAAAGAUUUAAACUGUCCCUGAGGAAAACCGUCUCCUUUAACGGAAUGAUUGUAAUAGAAAAUAACAGGUUUCUGAUCAGUGGUUCUCAAGAAAAUCCAUCAAAACAUUCAGGCUUACCAGAGAAAUGAUGGUGAGAUUGGUUAGUUUGUUAACGUAUAUCACCAUAUUGUCCAGCAGAAUGUAAUACAGAAUGAAAGAUGAUUUUAAUAGCAGAGUAUCUGUCAGGAUCACAAAGAUAAAGAGCUUCCAAUUGAAUGCAGAUGUGUUUACGCCAUAAUUUUUUUAACCUGGGUUCAUCCAUGGUGUGUUCAACCCGGGCCACUUUGGACGACUGGUACUUGGUUCAUGUCAUUCACAGAUCUAUCCCUUCUCACUCGUCCACCGCCUCGCUGAACUGCCCAGCAUCUCCUGCUGUGGCUUUUCAAACUCCCAUGUUCCUGUCUGCCUUUCUCGGAGAGUAGCAGUGCGGUUCUCGUUUCGUUGUUGAGUGGUUUUCCCCUCUGUGUUACACAUGUAAUCAAAUCGUCAUCCAAACCACACACCUCACCACAAUGUCAGCGAAUCACCAUCACUCGCUACCAGAGCUGUGACCAAUCACAUCAGGCCUGUCCGUCACACAAGGGGUGAACCGUGGGGCGAGGCAUUCACAUUAAUCAUACCUGACAGGGUUAAUGGACGCCUGACGUUCCCCCCUCAAUUACAGGACGCAGGUUCUGAUAUUAACGCUGAGAGAAAACUGCAUUUUCCUAGCAGUGCUUCUUCCAGGUUUUAGUUUUUUAAAGUGACACUUUUCCAGGACCUUUAACUGCACACGAAUUGGAGCAAUUUUAUAUAUUUUUUUAAUUUUUAAUAUAUUAUUGAUGUUGACAUCCACACUAUACCUUACAUACCUGUGUUGAAAUGCACUUUUUUUUUUCAUGUGUGGAUGUGUUCUUAUGUUCUCCCCUGUUCUCAUGGGGUCUGAGAAACCCAAAGGCUGUUUUAAUAGCAUUUAGGUAUCAUGUUUACACUUUUCCCUCUAUUUAAGAAUGAAUUAUUAUUUAAAUAGAUAAAUACACACAUACUUGAUCGCAAGCUUCAAAAAUAAUCCAUUAAGAUAUUACUUAUCUUAACAGAGACAAAGUCACCAUAUUAGAUAAGACACAUUUUCAGCUAGAAAAAUAUUAAUUAUUUGAUUGGGAUAACUGUGGAUACAUAUACGUUUUUGAUGGACACAACAAAUCAGUAUAUGACACCCCCCCCCCCCCCAAAAAAAAUAUAUAAAAUGUAAAUGUUAAUAGGUAUCUAAUUCAUUCAGUCAUUCGUUCAUUCAUUUUUAACAAUUUGACUAAAACCAGAAGGAAUGUGUGAUAUAACGUGUUAUAAUCUUCGAUUAUAUUUGCAUGCUGGAUUUUGAUUAAAGACAAGAAAACAUGUUUGAAUCUUAAGAGGAAAGGUUAAUUCUAAAACGGUUGUUAUUUUUACAUUUACAGCACUGGGGUCUCUUGUACUCACAUCAAACAUGUACAGUCAAUUUUCAAAGAACUU